GGCCCUACCUCAAAGACAAACCUGCUUUUUCACCGAAGAAAAUGGAACUCUAGUUAAAGGAGGUUACGUUCUAGACUGAGUCCUUACCCUGUCUGCAUCACCACACCUCCAGGACUACAAGUCAGAGAGAAAAGUUGAUAUAUAUGAAGCCCAUGAUUACCACUGCCAGCCUAUGUUUCAGCUUCCCAAGGGCCUGUAGCCAGCAGUCUACCCAGCCUGGAGGAUAUCCAUACACUGCCUCACACCAAAGGCAUAUGCACAGAGAAGAUAGCCAAGAGCUGGUAACCGGAACUUCUUCCACGAAGUUAUUAAGCUGACCUGGAACAGAAGUUCCUGUUGACAUUGGUCAGGAGACUCAGAGAAUCGCCAUGGGCAUACUGAGUGGAUAGAGGUGCUUCGAGAGUCAGGGAGGGGAGCCAAAUUCCUAGGUUGGAGAGUUCACAGGGCAAUGGCGAUCAAUACAGCACUUUUGAUCUGCACAGCUAGCUACUCAGGUACAAAGCAGCACUACCCUUUGUCC